rnacentral:rRNA from 1 species
AAGACUGGGAUAACUUCGGGAAACCGGAGCUAAUACCGGAUAACAUUUGGAACCGCAUGGUUCUAAAGUGAAAGAUGGUUUUGCUAUCACUUAUAGAUGGACCCGCGCCGUAUUAGCUAGUUGGUAAGGUAACGGCUUACCAAGGCGACGAUACGUAGCCGACCUGAGAGGGUGAUCGGCCACACUGGAACUGAGACACGGUCCAGACUCCUACGGGAGGCAGCAGUAGGGAAUCUUCCGCAAUGGGCGAAAGCCUGACGGAGCAACGCCGCGUGAGUGAUGAAGGGUUUCGGCUCGUAAAACUCUGUUAUUAGGGAAGAACAAAUGUGUAAGUAACUGUGCGCAUCUUGACGGUACCUAAUCAGAAAGCCACGGCCAACUAUGUGCCAGCAGCCGCGGUAAUACGUAGGUGGCAAGCGUUAUCCGGAAUUAUUGGGCGUAAAGCGCGCGUAGGCGGUUUCUUAAGUCUGAUGUGAAAGCCCACGGCUCAACCGUGGAGGGUCAUUGGAAACUGGGAAACUUGAGUGCAGAAGAGGAAAGUGGAAUUCCAUGUGUAGCGGUGAAAUGCGCAGAGAUAUGGAGGAACACCAGUGGCGAAGGCGACUUUCUGGUCUGUAACUGACGCUGAUGUGCGAAAGCGUGGGGAUCAAACAGGAUUAGAUACCCUGGUAGUCCACGCCGUAAACGAUGAGUGCUAAGUGUUAGGGGGUUUCCGCCCCUUAGUGCUGCAGCUAACGCAUUAAGCACUCCGCCUGGGGAGUACGACCGCAAGGUUGAAACUCAAAG